UACGGGGGGGCAAGCGUUGUUCGGAAUUACUGGGCGUAAAGGGUUCGUAGGUGGCCAACUAAGUCAGACGUGAAAUCCCUCAGCUUAACUGGGGAACUGCGUCUGAUACUGGUUGGCUUGAGUGCAGGAGAGGAACGCGGAAUUCCAGGUGUAGCGGUGAAAUGCGUAGAUAUCAGGAGGAACACCGGUGGUGUAGACGGCUUUCUGGACCGACACUGACGCUGAAACACGAAAGCGUGGGUAGCAAACAGG
rnacentral:rRNA from 1 species